GAACCAAAUCUUUUCGAUUAGAUGACAACUUCAAUCAUGGACAGCCUGAGCAAUGAAAAGCGUAUAUGCUCCUUUGUGUUCCGACACAGCGCCACACACACGCUCUUGCCGCCCGUUUGCGUUUUGGACAGCUGGAAAGAGAUGGACGACUGAGCAGACUCUCCAGUAGCCUGGAAGCUGUUGCUGUGAUUCCCAACCUUGCCCCUAGCUCACAUGUGCCCCGGGCUACCUGAAUUAGCAGCGUCCCACGGCCCAGGGAAUAACCGUCGGGAGGUCGGGCGGUGCUUUCCGUUCAGAGAUUCUUCCGUUCGCCCUGCUUGUGGAGUCUCCACUCAAAUUCUCUAUGCAGAAGGUCCCCGGACAUUCUAAGGCCGUUAAUCCUCAGCCAGCAUGCCCAAGUGAAGCAGCUGGUAUCGUUUUGACACAGGUGGCCGAGCUUGGCACUCAUUUUUUUGGAGGGGGGGGAAGCAUAACUCGGCAUUUAAUCGGUGACCCUGAAAGUGUGUGGUGAGGUUGGCUGUGGCACCUGCGGCAGAUCCAAGUCCAGCAGCCACGUAGGUCGACACUCUGAACCGUCUCUCUGCCCGUUAGUCCCUUGAAAGACACGGUGUCUAAGAAAUAGAAUUCAGCAGGGACUUUCGGCUUGGGGCCUCAAGCCAGGGAACCACAUCUGUGGCUUUCUCAGGGUCAGCGCUGUUUCUGCCAUCUGGUGGAGGAUCCUGGCGAUCUUUUCAUGAUGUGUUUGAACGGUACCAUAGAAAGCGCCCUUGGAUUUCGUGCCAUCUGCCUCAUCUCCGUGCCGACGGGGCGGCCGAGCCGUCGGCUCGUCUUCGCUUGCCGUGCAGCUCGCGCACGUAAAAUGCGGAUGUAUUCUGUCAUCGUGGCGACGGCAGGCUUCAGCCCUUCUCCUGCUCCAGCCCUUUUGGCAGUAGGCCACCCAGGCCUGCUGUCUUAUUUACUGUUGCCUCCCAACCUUUGGGAAUACCUAUUCCCUGAGCCUUUUCCCCUCCUCUUUCCCACCCCUUGGAAUCAUGACCCACAGCUGUGUCAUGUUUUUGUCUUGUGGUUCAGAGGCCUGGGUCUCCUGUGAUGUUGCUUCUGUCUUAGAAAAUAAAGUGAUACGUUAUCAGUC